AUACAUUAACCAAGUUUGACUUUGGUUCAUUUAACAUGUAUGAAUUGAAACAACUUAUCAAUUGUCAAUAUGGCAUUUCUUUAAAAGAUAGGCAAGGUCAGCAAGAUGGCUCAGUGUGGAGAAGUGCUUGUCACCAAGCCUGAUGACCAGAGAUCAAGUAUCUAGAACCAACUCCCACACGUUGUCCUCUUACGCCUGCACACUUGGUAGGUGCCCCUGCUCCAACAUACAUGUAAUACAUACAUACACACAUACAUACAUACAUACAUACAAACAACUUUAAAAUUUAAGGAAAGAUAAAGAAGGGCUAAGCACCUACCUUUAAUCCCAGUACUUGGGAGGCAGAGGCAAAUGGAUCUCUGUGAGUUCCAGGACAGCCCGGUCCACAGAGAACUCUAUGAGACCCAGUGCUACAUAGUGAGACUCUUUCUCCAAGUAAACAAACAAAUAAAUAAAUAAGAAAAAAAGAUAGAGAAAAUGUAUGUGAGUUAAGUCCUUAGUGAUAAUGUGAAAUAAUUUGGUUUUAUCAAAUAUUUAUAAAACUGGCUAUGUUUAGAGAGAAAAGUAUAUUUUUGAGGAAUAAAAUCAUGGCUUAUUUUGUACCAUGACGUGAGAAUGAGUGGAGACUGAGUUUGCAGUUAGGAGCAGCUAGAUAGUGAGAUUAACAGAGAUGCUUCAGAGCAAUGAUGACAUCCAGUCAACCUGCUUCAUAUCAUUCUAUCUCUGAAGUAUCUGUAAGACAAAAAAAAAAAAAAAAAAUCACAAAUCCCUUUGUGAACACUAAGCUGGGGACACAGGUGUUAAAUGCAGUCAGAAGUGGCCCAGGAUCCCCCCUUUUAAAAAAUUAUUAAUUUAUCUUAUGUAUAUGAGUACACUGUAGCUGUAAAGAUGAUUGUGAGCUAUGUGGUUGCUUAGAAUUGAACUCAGGACCUCUGCUCACCCUGGCCCAAAGAUUUAUUUAUUAUUAUAUGUAAAUACACUGUAGCUGUCUUCAGAAGAGGGCAUCAGAUCUCAUUACAGGUGGUUUUGAGCCACCAUGUGGUUGCUGGGAUUUGAACUCAGAACCUUAGGAAUAGCAAUCAGUGCUCUUACCCACUGAACCAUCUUACCAGCACCCCUCUCCUCCCCGCCUUCCAUUUCUUACUGUCACUUCAACAUGACCUGAAUCCUGAUAUUCAGCCAUCAUGAAGUUAUUAGAAGAUGGGAUUGUCUAGGCAUCCACCCACGUUGGGGGAAACCUGACACCCCUGUGUUCAGGCUGGGGCUUGCCAAAGUGGAAUCAAUCAUUUUUGCACAUUAUCAUAACUACACCAUAAUAUGGUUUCUUGGAUAACAGGCUUUAUAGGAAAUUGCCUAAAGGAACAUGUAAAAUAAGAUAUAACACAAUAAUGGUUUGGCCCCAAGUCAAUAUGAAUAUGUAAAUACUUCACAAAUUCUAACUCCAUUCUAUCGCUGAGGGCCCUUUAUAUUGUAUUCAGAUGGUGGGGGCGGUGGGAGGAGUGUUGCUGUACUUUUCUUUCUGUUGCUCUGAUAAAAGCUUACACUUCUAUGUCAGUAUCCAUCACUGUGGGCAGGAACUGGAAGCAGAACCCGUGAAAGACACUGUUUGUUGACACUCUCUGACUCAUUCACAGACCCGUGCUUAGCUUUCUUUUUUCUUUUCUUUUCUUUUUUUAAAAGAUUUUACUUAUUUAUUUUAUGUAUAUGACAAGUACACUUUAGCUUUCUUCAGACACACCAGAAGAGGGUGUCAGAUCCCAUUAUUGAUGGUUGUGAGCCACCAUGUGGUUACUGGGAAUUGAACUCAGGAUGUUUGGAAGAGCAGUCAGUGCUCUUAACUGCUGAGCCAUCUCUCCAGCCCCAUGCUUAGCUUUCUUACACAUCCCAGGACCACAUUUAGUUCUACCCAGGGAGUGCUGAUAUUCUACAGACAUGCCCAGAGGCCAGUGUGACCUAUGCAAUUCCUCAGUUGAGGGUCUCUUCUAUGGUGACUCUGGUUUGACAAUAAAAACCAAUCUACCUUAUCAACUUGACAUACAAACACAUUAGGGUUUAAUCAUAACUUUUUUCUUGUCCUCACAAAUCUCUUAUUAAUAAUGCCACACUAAAUCAUAGUCCUAUGAUCAAUUUCAAUAAUUUAAAAGUCCAGUGUCUCCCUAAAAAGUCCAAAGUCCCUGGAACUAGAGAAAUUGCCCGGAAGUUAAAAGCUUGUACUGCUCUUAGAGAGGGCUUGAGCUCAGUUCCCAGUGCCCAUGCUGGGCAGCUCACAACUGCUUCUGACCACAUCUACAGGGGAUCUAAUGACUAUGGUCUCCAUAAGCACCAACACCCGUGUGCACAGACCUCCCCUACAUAUGUGCAAACUUUAAAAUAAUAAUAAAAAUAAUAGGUAAUCCAAGUUUUGUUUUCAAAUCCAUCAACUCUUAACUGUGGGCCCCUUUAAAACAAACAAACAAACAAACAAACAAACAAACAAAAAACAAGUUACAUACUUCUUGUUCCAAAAGGGAAGACUCAGGGCAUGAAAAUACUCACAGUAAAGCAAAGCCAGCGUCGUCAAGUAGUGUGGCUGAAUGGUCACCAUCCCUAGAUUCCUUCCAGGGUUGCCUUAGACAAGCCUGCUUCCCUUGACAUCAUUCAGACCUUGCCUAAGCCUUAAGUUUAGAGGCUUAGGCUGGGUCCCUGACUCACCCGAUCCAGCCACACUUACACAGCUCUUUUACUGUAUUAGUUACCGUCCUGUUGCUGUGAUAAAAUACUAAGAACAAGUAAACUUAGUUCAUAUUUCC
rnacentral:lncRNA from 1 species